UACGUAGGGUGCGAUCGUUAAUCGGAAUUACUGGGCGUAAAGUGUGCGCAGGUGGCUUCGCAAGUCGAGUGUGAAAUCCCCGGGCUUAACCUGGGAAUUGCGCUUGAAACUAGCGGGCUUGAGUGUGGCAGAGGGGGGUGGAAUUCCACGUGUAGCAGUGAAAUGCGUAGAUAUGCGGAGGAACACCGAUGGCGAAGGCAAUCCCCUGGGCCGCACUGACGCUCAUGCACGAAAGCGUGGGGAGCAAACAGG
rnacentral:rRNA from 1 species